GACGAACGCUGGCGGCGUGCCUAAUACAUGCAAGUCGAGCGGACGAAUCGAAAGCUUGCUUUUGAUUCGUUAGCGGCGGACGGGUGAGUAACACGUGGGCAACCUGCCCUGUAGACGGGGAUAACACCGAGAAAUCGGUGCUAAUACCGGAUAACACGAAAUGUCGCAUGACGUUUCGUUUAAAGACGGCGCAAGCUGUCGCUACAGGCUGGGCCCGCGGCGCAUUAGCUAGUUGGUGAGGUAACGGCACACCAAGGCGACGAUGCGUAGCCGACCGGAGAGGAUGAUAAGCAGCACGGGGACUGAGACACGGAGCAGACUGAGAGGGGAGGAAGCAGGGGGGAAUAUGGGGUAAUGGGAGAAAGACAGACACAGCAACGGAGCGUGAGUGAUGAAGGCCGUAGGGUUGGAAAAAUGGUUUGACCGGGAUGAUAAUGACAGUACCGGGAGAAUAAGCGCAGGCUAACGCCGUG
rnacentral:rRNA from 1 species